rnacentral:rRNA from 1 species
UACGAGGGGUCCAAUCGUUGUUCGGAAUUAUUGGGCGUAAAGCGGGUGUAGGUGGAUCUAUAAGUCAGAAGUGAAAGCCCCGAGCUUAACUUGGGAAGUGCUUUUGAUACUGCAGAUCUUGAAUGUGGGAGAGGAUCGUGGAAUUCCAGGUGUAGCGGUGAAAUGCGCAGAUAUCGGGAAGAACACCCGUGGCGAAGGCGGCUCUCUGGGACGGUACUGACGCUGAGACGCGAAAGCGUGGGGAGCGAACAGG